UGUCCCCUUCCCGCAUAAUAUCGGUUCACUAAUUAAAAAUUGCACAGCAAAUGCCAGUAAUGUGUUAAUAAUUCAAAAGAGAUCAAUAGCGUCUCAACGUUUGCACUUUUCUGAAACAAAUGCUGACACGAAUUGCAGCUGCUGCUCCUCCAAAUGUUCCUCUGAGAAGGUAAUACUUCAAUUCUUUUCAAUUCAUCAAGUCUAUUGCACCACAUACAUUCAUGCUACCUGAGGUUUCUUCAGAUGGUAUGGGGAUUCAUAAGGUCACUGAAGAUAGCAACCAUGAGAAAUUAAGGUCCUAGCUCACAAGACAUAUAAAACGUUACAUAUGAUGCAUUAUUUAUCGUGCCUCUAGUUGUGUAAUAGUUUGACCAUUAGCUGAACUGGAAUUGUGAUUGCUUGAAGAGGAAUUCACUUCUAUGAGAUCCCUUUCUGUGAAGAAUCCUGGUUGCUUACGCUCAGGUAAUGCACUUUCACCGCCCAGCAUAAAAACAACUGCUGACAUGCUAGGCCUUUCUUCUGGACUUUGUUGCACACAGAGUAGACCCACAUGCACUGUCCGUAGCACUUCAGAUAUGUUGCACGAAGUUCUCACUGAAGCAUCAAUCAUUUCUAUAGACCUCCCAGCCUUUUGUAGUCUCCAAGCAUGUCCAAGAAGGUUAAGAUGAUGAUCUGUAUGACUGAAUCCUCUGUUCCUUCUUCCACUCACUAUCUCUAGCACUAUACCACCAAAGCUAAAAACAUCAGACUUCACAGAGUAAAGGCCAUCGAUUGCAUACUCUGGCGACAUAUAACCACUGCAGAACAUUAUUAAACAUUAAAUAAACAUACAAGAAUUAAGUUACAAUACAAAUACACUUGUACAUGGGAUACAAUUUUAGAAGGUACUUACUAUGUUCCCACCACCUUAUUUGUAUUGGCUUCAGUUUCGCUUCCUCCAAAACUUCUAGAAAGGCCAAAGUCUGAAAUUUUUGGAUUC
rnacentral:misc_RNA from 1 species